UACAGAGGUGCCAAGCGUUGUUCGGAUUUAUUGGGCGUAAAGGGUGCGUAGGCGGUGAUGCAAGUCGGGUGUGAAAUACCGGAGCCUAACUCCGGAACGGCAUUCGAAACUGCAUCGCUCGAGGUCUGGAGAGGUGAUUGGAAUUCUCGGUGUAGCAGUGAAAUGCGUAGAUAUCUGGAGGAACACCGGUGGCGAAGGCGGCAUCCUGGACCAAUUCUGACGCUGAGGAGCGAAAGCCAGGGGAGCAAACGGG
rnacentral:rRNA from 1 species